rnacentral:sRNA from 1 species
AGACCGUGUCCCGCGGGGCUGUCACCUCCGCCUCUGCGCCCCGACCCGGCCAUGCGCGGCCUCGGGCUCUGGCUGCUGGGCGCGAUGAUGCUGCCUGCGAUUGCCCCCAGCCGGCCCUGGGCCCUCGUGGAGCAGUAUGAGGUCGUGCUGCCGCGGCGUCUGCCAGGCCCCCGAGUCCGCCGAGCUCUGCCCUCCCACUUGGGCCUGCACCCAGAGAGGGUGAGCUACGUCCUUGGGGCCACAGGGCACAACUUCACCCUCCACCUGCGGAAGAACAGGGACCUGCUGGGCUCCGGCUACACGGAGACCUAUACGGCUGCCAAUGGCUCCGAGGUGACGGAGCAGCCUCGUGGGCAGGACCACUGCUUCUACCAGGGCCACGUAGAGGGAUACCCGGACUCAGCCGCCAGCCUCAGCACCUGUGCCGGCCUCAGGUGGGGUCAGACCUACACCUGAUCGAGCCCCUGGAUGAAGGUGGCGAGGGCGGACGGCACGCCGUGUACCAGGCUGAGCACCUGCUGCAGACGGCCGGGACAUGCGGGGUCAGCGACGACAGCCUG